GCACUAUGUCGGGUGGCCUCCUGAAGGCGCUGCGCAGCGACUCCUACGUGGAGCUGAGCCAGUACCGGGACCAGCACUUCCGGGUGAGGGAGGCCGGACCGCGAGACGGGAAGGCCCUGGGCCAGAACGCUGAGAAACGGGUGACAAUGAAGAGCAAGAAAAAUUGCUGAAGAAAAGCUGCACAUUGUAUGUUGGAAAUCUUUCUUUUUACACAACUGAAGAACAAAUCUAUGAACUCUUCAGCAAAAGUGGUGACAUAAAGAAAAUCAUUAUGGGUCUGGAUAAAAUGAAGAAAACAGCAUGUGGAUUCUGUUUUGUGGAGUAUCCUUCCUGUGCAUCUAAUGUAGCUGCUGAACCAGGGUAGAGCUGGGAGUGGUAGCUCAUAAGCGUCCCUGCACUUGCCCCUGUUUUCCUUCAUCUCCCUCCUACCUUCCACCCAGUGUGUCUCUGCUCUUAUACUGUAAAGCUGAUACUAUUUAUAUUCUCUUCUGAAAUCCGUGCUUUAUGGUUCUUUAACAAAAACAGUUUUUCAAGAAUGCCCUUCACGUAAAAAAAAAAAAUUCCAAAGAAUGUAGUGAAAAUAUAAAAAUCUUGUACUGUUCUAAAUCCCUAAUUCCCUUUGCCAGAGGCAGUCAGUUACCAGUUUCUUGGGCGUCUUUCAAGA
rnacentral:sRNA from 1 species